CUCUGUUCACGGAAAGGGCCUGGGAGCAGCAACACCUCAACAGCAACGAGCACACCUGCUACCUAGAACCUGGUUUCUAAAAACCAUCCUCCUCUAAAAGAAAACAGGGCUCUUUGAAGAAAUGGUAAUUUCAAAGCUAGAGCAGAGAAGGUAUAAGAUGAGCCCAGAAUAUCUUUUUGUACAAGAAAGUAAGGCCAUGCUCAAAGAAUGAUGGAGACAUGACCAAAAAAAGCAGAGAAGCCAACUUGAAAAGAUUCCAACAGGCCAAAUAUGGGACAAUUUGAACAUCAGAAUAAAAUAGUGACAGUAACAGAAUUAUAACCCAUUGAAGAAAGUAGGAAUUCAUGACAUCAUAUUAAUAUAAAUAAAAAUUGAAUAUUGAAAUUUAUUAAG
rnacentral:lncRNA from 1 species